AAGGUGAUACCGCAGUGGCGGUGUAAUGUCUGAAUUCGUUUACGGUGGGUACGUGGUCAAGUUUCGGGGACGAAACUUCUGUUAAGGGGGGAUAAUGUAAGGGCUGAGAUUUUGGCUGUGUAGCUAAACUCUUUGUUGACGAUGUUUUUGUGUGUAAUUUAAUUACAAAAGCACUCGUCAAGUUUUAGGAGAAAUCGAGUUAGAAUGGAGAAGUUACGCAAUUAAUAGUAUUCGCUUAAGUGAAUAGUAACUCUGGUUUUCCGGAAAAG
rnacentral:lncRNA from 1 species